UUCAGUUCCUUGUCAGCUUCAUUCUAUUAUAAGCCAAUGCCUUGAAAUGGUUUUCAGAAUGAAUAUUUUGGUUCUUCCUUGUUGGGCACAUUGAGGCCCAAGAAAAGCAUGUUCAGUUGUCCUUAAAUGGAAAUAGCUCAAGGUGUUAGGUGCACUACAAAAAUGUUUGGACGCAUAUAGACCAAAGAGCACAAACGCAAUAUGAAUUGUUGAGUGUAAAAUUAAACGUAGCCCAAUUUGACUAAAUAGAGCACAAAUGAUGAAAUCUAGAGUACAAACAAUACUUCCCAACUUUUCAAAAUCAAUUGAGGUAUCAUGUAGGAUACACUAGACAAUUGUUUUCUAGAUGUUAAUGAAUGAGGUCCAAAACGAAUCCUAAGUAUAGCCAAAUGAAAUGUUGUAAUCAGCAUUUUAGAUUGGGCGGGUG
rnacentral:lncRNA from 1 species